ACUCGGCGUACCGCUCAGUAACACGUGGGUAACCUGCCCUAUGCUGGGGAAUAACCUCGGGAAACUGAGAAUAAUACCCCAUAGCCCACCAUGCCUGGAACGGUUGGUGGAUCAAAGCUCCGACGGCAUAGGAUGGGCCUGCGGCGUAUCAGGUUGUAGGGGGUGUAACGUACCCUCUAGCCAUCAACGCGUACGGGUGUUGGGAGACAUAGCCCGGAGAUGGAUUCUGAGACACGAAUCCAGACCCUACGGGGUGCAGCAGGCGCGAAAACUUGGCAAUGCGAGAAAUCGUGACCAGGGAACUCCAAGUGGCUGGGGUAAGACCCAGUCUUUUCAUGACUCUUCAAAGGUCUUGGAAUAAGAGGUGGGUAAGGACGGUGCCAGCCGCCGCGGUAAUACCGGCGCCUCAAGUGGUAGUCGAUUUUAUUGGGCCUAAAACGUCCGUAGCCUGUUUGGUACAUUCGUGGGUAAAUCAACCAGCUUAACUGAUUGAAUUCUGCGAGCACGGCCAGACUUGGGACCGGGAGAGG
rnacentral:rRNA from 1 species